AUUGAACGCUGGCGGCAUGCCUUACACAUGCAAGUCGAACGGUAACAGGUCUUCGGAUGCUGACGAGUGGCGCACGGGUGCGUAAUACAUCGGAACGUGCCCGAUCGUGGGGGAUAACGGAGCGAAAGCUUUGCUAAUACCGCAUACGAUCUACGGAUGAAAGCAGGGGACCGCAAGGCCUUGCGCGGACGGAGCGGCCGAUGGCAGAUUAGGUAGUUGGUGGGAUAAAAGCUUACCAAGCCGACGAUCUGUAGCUGGUCUGAGAGGACGACCAGCCACACUGGGACUGAGACACGGCCCAGACUCCUACGGGAGGCAGCAGUGGGGAAUUUUGGACAAUGGGCGAAAGCCUGAUCCAGCCAUGCCGCGUGCAGGAUGAAGGCCUUCGGGUUGUAAACUGCUUUUGUACGGAACGAAAAGACUCUUUCUAAUAAAGAGGGUCCAUGACGGUACCGGAAGAAUAAGCACCGGCUAACUACGUG
rnacentral:rRNA from 1 species